rnacentral:ncRNA from 17 species
UUCUUUCGAGUCUGUAGUUGCGGGUUUAAUCCUUAGUCCACGGCAGAUGCGGUCGAAAGGACCCACGUAAGCCGCGCGGUUUCCGCGUGACGAUCAUGGCGUAUCCUAGAGGUAAGUCGCACCGCCUGUAAAUUGCAGCGACAUACGGUCGCAACGGGCGAGAGGGUGGGGGCGCAAGCUCAACUCCGGUGCGCGAGUGUGGGGGCAAAGACUAGGUCAGUCGAAAGAA